rnacentral:rRNA from 1 species
GACGAACGCUGGCGGCGUGCUUAACACAUGCAAGUCGAACGGAAAGGCCCUGCUUUUGUGGGGUGCUCGAGUGGCGAACGGGUGAGUAACACGUGAGUAACCUGCCCUUGACUUUGGGAUAACUUCAGGUAACUGGGGCUAAUACCGGAUAGGAGCUCCUGCUGCAUGGUGGGGGUUGGAAAGUUUCGGCGGUUGGGGAUGGACUCGCGGCUUAUCAGCUUGUUGGUGGGGUAGUGGCUUACCAAGGCUUUGACGGGUAGCCGGCCUGAGAGGGUGACCGGCCACAUUGGGACUGAGAUACGGCCCAGACUCCUACGGGAGGCAGCAGUGGGGAAUAUUGCACAAUGGGCGGAAGCCUGAUGCAGCAACGCCGCGUGCGGGAUGACGGCCUUCGGGUUGUAAACCGCUUUCGCCUGUGACGAAGCGUGAGUGACGGUAAUGGGUAAAGAAGCACCGGCUAACUACGU